UCAUUCCCGGAAGUUGAUGAUAAGGCUGCCGAAAAAUCCCAUCUCCAAGAGACCCCAAUAUUGCUUGUUGGUGUAUUGAAGGAGGUGGCGGCGUCUGUGGAAGCUGGCUAAGCAGAGUGGCAAUUGAUGAUGAACCAUUUCCAUGAUGGUCAGUUCUCCCCUCGAUGCUUUGAUCAUCAUUAACAUUAUUUUCCCCAUGAAAUCUCUUGUUCACCAAUGCGCCGCCACUUGGCACAUCCUCAUGAUCAGUCCAACUACUAGAUGGCAGUGUUCUCUUAAGAGAAUCCAUUGCUUGAACCUGUAGUUUUGAUGAGCUUGAGGCAGCAAACUGAUGAUGAUGAUGAGAUGAAAUGGAUCCAUUGUUGUUGUUGCUGCUGUUGUUGUUAAUACCAUCAUGACUCGUUAACCCUUCAAAAAAAUUUGGUUCAUUAACUAACAAAGCUCCAAAACUAUUUAAAUUUGCUCCCCUUGUCGGCAUAUGCAGCUUCAAAUUUGUAUUCUGUUGCUGGCUACUAAUCAUCAGCGAAGGCGGUAUGUGUACUCCAAGCAUAUCAUCCAUCGAAUCAUCUUUAUCAUGAUCCAUUAAUGGCCUAUGCAAGUUGUUUUUUUUGUAUAUUCGACAUAGCACCCAGUCAUCAAGCUACCAUAACAGAAAUCAAAAAACCCUUUAACCAAUUUUCCAUAAUAUUAAACAUACAUGUAAUAGGAAUAAAAAUUUACCCUCAGGGAGUUCUUUUUGUUGCCCAAAUCACAACCAGGGGGCUUGUUACUGACUUUGUUAUCGGUAAGGCGAUAUUCAUGCAUGAUCCAAUUGGUCUUGAUACCUUUAGGAGGCUUGCCUCCAUAGAAUACAAGUGCUUUUUUCACACCAACUUUUUGAUUACUCCCUGAACUCAUCACUGGCUUAUCUGUUCCGGUAGCCUUCCAAUAUCCUGAAGUUGCUGCUCUGUUUGGCCUCGCCCCGUUCGGAUACUUCCUGUCCCUAGGGCUAAAGAAGUACCAUUCUUGCUCUCCAAAUGUUGCCUUAGCUGAAUAUAAUAUUAAUUGAAACCCAUGAUUAUUUUAUUUAUUACUACUAAUUAGUAACAGCAUAUAAAUAGGUUAAUUACCUGGAAGCUCCCAUGGAUCAAACUUGUACAAAUCAACUUCCGCAAUAAUUGAAACUGGGAGAGGAGCUGAGCUUGCUUUCUUCUUG
rnacentral:lncRNA from 1 species